rnacentral:rRNA from 1 species
GACGAACGCUGGCGGCGUGCUUAACACAUGCAAGUCGAACGAAGUGGCGAACGGGUGAGUAACGCGUAAUCAACCUGCCCUUCAGAGGGGGACAACAGUUGGAAACGACUGCUAAUACCGCAUACUGAAGGAGGGGCUUGCGUCUGAUUAGCUAGUUGGAGGGGUAACGGCCCACCAAGGCGAAGAUCAGUAGCCGGUCUGAGAGGGUGAACGGGCAAAAUUGGACUGAGGCACGGCCCAGAAUCCUACGGGAGGCAGCAGGUGGGGAUCUUCCGCAAUGGACGAAAGUCUGACGGAGCAACGCCGCGGGAGUGAUGACGGCCUUCGGGUUGUAAAGCUCUGUUAAUCGGGACGCGGUACCGGAAUAGAAAGCCACGGCUAACUACGUGCCAGCCGCCGCGGUAAUAC